rnacentral:rRNA from 2 species
UCAAGACUAAGCCAUGCAUGUCUAAGUAUAAACGCUUCUAUACUGUGAAACUGCGAAUGGCUCAUUAAAUCAGUUAUAGUUUAUUUGAUGGUUUCUUACUACUUGGAUAACCGUGGUAAUUCUAGAGCUAAUACAUGCACAAAGUCCCGACUCUUCGGAAGGGAUGUAUUUAUUAGAUCCAAAACCAAUGCGAGUCUCUCGGGGCUCGGUUYCUUGGUGAUUCAUGAUAACUGCUCGAACCGUAUGGCCCUUGCGCCGACGGUGCUUCAUUCAAAUUUCUGCCCUAUCAACUUUCGAUGGUACGGUAGUGGCCUACCAUGGUUGCAACGGGUGACGGAGAAUUAGGGUUCGAUUCCGGAGAGGGAGCCUGAGAAACGGCUACCACAUCCAAGGAAGGCAGCAGGCGCGCAAAUUACCCAAUCCCGACUCGGGGAGGUAGUGACAAUAAAUAACAAUGCCGGGCUAUUGUAGUCUGGCAAUUGGAAUGAGUACAAUCUAAAUCCCUUAACGAGGAACAAUUGGAGGGCAAGUCUGGUGCCAGCAGCCGCGGUAAUUCCAGCUCCAAUAGCGUAUAUUAAAGUUGUUGCAGUUAAAAAGCUCGUAGUUGGAUUUCGGGGUGGCCUGCCUGGUCCACCGCAAGGUGAGUACUGGUCAGCCGCCCUUCCUCUCGAAAGCCCCGACUGCUCUUYACUGCAGUGGUCGGGUAGUUCGGGACGUUUACUUUGAAAAAAUUAGAGUGUUCAAGGCAGGCUAUCGCCUGAAUACAUUAGCAUGGAAUAAUGGAAGAGGACCUCGGUCCUAUUUUGUUGGUUUCUAGGGCCGAAGUAAUGAUUAAGAGGGACAGUUGGGGGCAUUCGUAUUUAAUUGUCAGAGGUGAAAUUCUUGGAUUUAUGAAAGACGAACUAGUGCGAAAGCAUUUGCCAAGGAUGUUUUCAUUAAUCAAGAACGAAAGUUAGGG